GCGGCAGGCCUAACACAUGCAAGUCGAGGGGCAGCACGAGUAGCAAUACUUGGUGGCGACCGGCGCAAGGGUGCGUAACGCGUGAGCAACAUGCCCGUAUCAGGGGAAUAAUCUAGGGAAACUUAGUCUAAUACCCCAUAGCAUUAUUAAUCGGCAUCGAUUUAUAAUUAAAGCUUUGGUGGAUACGGAUUGGCUCGCGUGACAUUAGUUAGAUGGUAAGGUAACGGCUUACCAUGACUAUGAUGUCUAGGGGUUCUGAGAGGAAGAUCCCCCACACUGGAACUGAGACACGGUCCAGACUCCUACGGGAGGCAGCAGUGAGGAAUAUUGGACAAUGGAUGGAAAUCUGAUCCAGCCAUGCCGCGUGCAGGAAGACGGUCCUAUGGAUUGUAAACUGCUUUUAUAUGGGAGCAAUAAGGUCUUUGCGAAGACUGAUGAGAGUACCAUAUGAAUAAGCAUCGGCUAACUCC
rnacentral:rRNA from 1 species